rnacentral:rRNA from 1 species
GACGAACGCUGGCGGCGCGCUUAACACAUGCAAGUCGAGCGAAGCGGCGGACGGGCGAGUAACACGUGAGUAACCUGCCUUAGACAUUGGGAUAGCCUCGGGAAACCGGGAUUAAUACCAAAUGGUCUAAGAUGGACUCGCGUCCCAUUAGCUAGUUGGUGGGUAACGGCCCACCAAGGCGACGAUGGGUAGCCGGACUGAGAGAGGGAACGGGCACAUUGGAACUGAGCAACGAUCAAAACUACACGGGAGGCAGCAGUGAGGAAUAUUGCACAAUGGAAGGAACUCUGAUGCAGCGACGCCGCGUGAACGAAGAAGGCUUUCGAGUCAUAAAGUUCUUUUAUAUGGGAAACGGUACCAUAAGAAAAAGCCCCGGCUAACUACGUGCCAGCCGCCGCGGUAGUUC